GAAAUGCGAUAAGUAAUGUGAAUUGCAGAAUUCAGUGAAUCAUCUAAUCUUUGAACGCACAUUGCGCCCGCCAGUAUUCUGGCGGGCAUGCCUGUUCGAGCGUCAUUUCAACCAUCAAGCCCCCGGCUUGUGUUGGGGACCUGCGGCUGCCCGCAGGCCCUGAAAAACAGUGGCGGGCUCGCUGUCACACCGAGCGUAGUAGCAUACAUUCUCGCUCAGGGCGUGCUGCGGGUUCCGGCCGUUAAACGACCUUCAUAACCCAAGGUUGACCUCGGAUCAGGUAGGAAGACCCGCUGAACUUAAGC
rnacentral:misc_RNA from 1 species